rnacentral:rRNA from 1 species
UAAGGUGAGUAUUGCGGCCUGGCUCACCUCUUCCCAUCCCGAACAGAGAAGUUAGGCCCGCCUGCGCAGAGAUGGUACUGCUGGGAGUAUGUCGUCGCCUUUU